AAGUCGUAACAAGGUUUCCGUAGGUGAACCUGCGGAAGGAUCAUUACCGAGUCAUGGAACCCUCUCUUGGGUUCCUACUCCCACCCAAUGUUUACCUGAAGAAUUGUUGCCUCGGCGAAUCGGCCAUGGCCGCCGGCCUUUUAGGGGUUGGAUAGCAUUCGCCAGAGGAAUUUAAAAAGUCUCUAAAACCGAAUCAUCUGAAAAAACAAGAAAAUAAAUUAAAACUUUCAACAACGGAUCUCUUGGUUCUG
rnacentral:misc_RNA from 1 species